rnacentral:rRNA from 1 species
CAGCACCUCAAGUGGUCAGGAUGAUUAUUGGGCCUAAAGCAUCCGUAGCCGGCGCUGUAAGUUUUCGGUUAAAUCUGUACGCUCAACGUACAGGCUGCCGGGAAUACUGCAGCGCUAGGGAGUGGGAGAGGUAGACGGUACUCGGUAGGAAGGGGUAAAAUCCUUUGAUCUAUUGAUGACCACCUGUGGCGAAGGCGGUCUACCAGGACACGUCCGACGGUGAGGGAUGAAAGCUGGGGGAGCAAACCGGAUUAGAGACCCGCGUAGUCC